GAAUAAUUUUAUUCUAUCCUAAAAAAUAAAACACCACAACAGAUACGGAAAACAUAUCUUGUUUGUGAUAGACAUUUUCCAGAAAAUCACAAAACAGAGGGCCGAAAAGGACCCGUCCUGGUUUCUUCCUGAUGAAAUAAUGAUGUUCUGGAAAUGCAAGAAUGUACGAAUGUUCCAGAGAUCCAUGAAGGCAACAAUGAUCUGAUGAUAGGGGAACCUGCUGGCUGUUCAAAUUCCAUCCACUUAUUAAGACGAGGAGCAGUCAAGAAAAGGGUGAUGAUCAACAAUCACGAAAAAUUUUUACUGAAAAGACUGACUCAUCAGAAUAGAAAAUAUAAUGUUUGGUUUUUUCAA